GGGGGUGUAGCUCAGUAGGUUAGAGCGCUGGCCUGUCACGCCAGAGGUCGCGGGUUCGAGUCCCGUCACUCCCGCCA
rnacentral:tRNA from 1 species